rnacentral:rRNA from 1 species
UACGAAGGGGGCUAGCGUUGCUCGGAAUCACUGGGCGUAAAGGGUGCGUAGGCGGGUCUUUAAGUCAGGGGUGAAAUCCUGGAGCUCAACUCCAGAACUGCCUUUGAUACUGAAGAUCUUGAGUUCGGGAGAGGUGAGUGGAACUGCGAGUGUAGAGGUGAAAUUCGUAGAUAUUCGCAAGAACACCCGUGGCGAAGGCGGCUCUCUGGGACGGUACUGGACGCUGAGACGCGAAAGCGUGGGGAGCGAACAGG